UGCCUGAAUGCAGGUUGUCACACCAAUGCAAUGUCGGCCAUGAGUUUGGCGUGUUCUUGCAUUUUCACAAAUUUAAAUAUAAAUUAUUAGCUUUUCUUUCUUAUCUGAACCAUUAUGCCGAGUACAUUGCCGCCGAAGGAGAAUACUCUCUUUAAAAGAGUGUUGGUAAGUCUUUAUAUGUUCUUACUCAGUGUGCAAAUAUGCAUUUUGGUCGCAGGAAGUCUGUACUAUUCACACUCAAUGUUGUGCUGAUGUUUUAUACUUGAUUUCUUGCAGAAAUGUUACGAACAAAAGCAGUAUAAGAACGGCUUGAAAUUUGCAAAGCAAAUUUUAUCAAAUCCAAAAUAUUCAGAGCAUGGAG